CUUUUGUCUUUUUGUUGUUGUUAUUGUUGCUAUCUCUUGGUUCUUGGGCCGCUCCCGCGGCAUAUGGAGGUUCCCAGGCUAGGGGUUGAAUUGGAGCUGUAGCCACCGGCCUACGCCAGAGCCACAGCAACGCGGGAUCCGAGCCGCAUCUGCAACCUACACCACAGCUCACGGCAACGCCGGAUCGUUAACCCACUGAGCAAGGGCAGGGACCGAACCCGCAACCUCAUGGUUCCUAGUCGGAUUCGUUAACCACUGCGCCACGACGGGAACUCCUGCUGCAGCUGUUUUUAUUAUAAAAGAUGCUAAAUUUCUGGAAGGCAGGGCCGUGCUCAUCUUUGUAUCUCAGGUGACCAUGGAGAGGGUGUGCGCAAGGGUGAACUUGAGUGACAGCAGCCAAAAGUGGACUGAGUUCCCUGGCCACCCAGAAGUCGGCUCCUGUUCUGGGAUUUCCUCCUCACGUUGUCCAGAAGGCGCUUAGCACGUAGUAUGUGCUCCUAAAAUUUCCUCAUCAAUUGCGAAAAUACAAGCCACUUGUCUUAGUCUGUUUGAGGCGCGAUAAGAAAAUACCGCAGACUGGGUGGCUUACAACCAAAGGAAAUGCCUUCCUCACUGUCCUGGAGCCCAGAAACCGAGCCCAGGGUCCCAGCACCGCUGAGUGAGGGCCCCUCUGGGUUGGCAGACGCUUCCUGUGUCCCCACGUGGUGGAAGGGCCAGGGACUUCUUUGCAAGGGCGCGGGUCCCACUGAAGAGGCCCCUCCCUCACAGUGUAUUCAAGACCCCUUCCGGCUCCCACCCCAGGGUUGGGAGCUCACCCCAAGAAUUUGAGGAACACAGACGUUCAGACCACAGCGCCACCUUUCAAAACAGACCCGAGGGCGCGAAGGAGCAGAGACCCGCGGAGCGGCCUCGGCCUCAGGAGUGGCCGCGGGGCGGGGGGCUGCCCUGGUGUCUGUGCGUCCUUCCCGCGUCCUUCUCACUCCUGUUUCCGAGGCGCAGCAACUCCAGGGUCUGAAUCGUGCUAGCAGUUGCUCAAUGAUGCCACAGCAUAUGCAGGGGAUUCUGGCAGGAACCGGGAUUGCAGAAGCAAAAGCCCCCCACCAAAGGUUUGCGGCUUCUUGUCUGUCACCAGCUGAUUGUAAAGCUGAACCUAAAUAUGUCAUUCGUUCCAUGCAAACUCUCCAGCUGCAAACUCUAACUGUGAGCGUCAGGGCCCUCGGAGCUCCCUCCUCGUAGACAGAGGAGAGGCUCUGACCCCGAGGCCUGGGAGGGGCUCCCGGGCUCCUGGUCCCCCGGUCCCGGGGCUCACAGCCAUCCCGCGGGGCAGGAGGGUGCAGGCCCAGAGAGGAGAGCCCUGGUGUAAGUCCAUCCUGCCCUCCAGCCCGCGGCUUCCCAGGGGCAGAAGGCCUUCCAGGGCACCCUCCUCGGAUCCUCAACACGAUCCUGAGAAGAGGGCGAAGGGAUGGCAUGAGCUCCGUUUUCAGAGGGAAACUCAUUUUCAGAACUGCAAGUCGCUGGAGGCCACAGAGCCAGCCGUGGGCUCCAGGGUCCCGCCUGGAGUUCAGAGAAGCCCAGGCUUCGACUCCCUCCAAGACUAUGUGAGUCGCCCCUGGAGGGGCGCCUACUGCACCCCAAUGCCACGCACGCACUCAGGAGCUGGACCAGCCAGAGGGGAAACCGGCUCCCUGUGUUCGGGGGAGAGGACGUAGGUGCGAUGGGGUUUGCAGAGCUGAUCCAGGUCUUACCCUGGCCCCCCUGGCCCCGGCAUUCCCUUCAUUUAAGCAUUAUUUAAAGAAUUUCUAUUUAUAAAGAGCACAUAAUCCUGAGAUAUGUGAUACUUUAUGUCGCUAUUGAUUCAAAAACCAUUUGUUUUUCACACAGUGGGGAGGGUGGCAGGGUUGGUAUGGGUCCGAUUUAGGGAGAGUUACAGACGUAAGAGCAUGUUCUUAUCCAGAUUUACUGAAGCGCAGCAUCUCGGCACAGUGACUACCUCGCGGCUCUGGGGCGCGCUCUGCUCUCCACGUGGCCGACUGAGGCUGCUGCAGGAGGUCCCCCUGGAUGGCAGGACAGAGGGGUGGCCUGGGAGCCCCUGGCCCUUGACAAAAGCACCAGGGAGAGCAGCCCGAGACGAGCUCGGCUCAGCCCAGGGUGGCAGGAAUCAGGACAGACAAGGAGAUGAGACGAGGCGCCAUGAGAUGCAAACUCAUCGUGGUGUCCCCACAGGAGGAGAUGGGCACGGGUGUCAGGUCACCAAUUAGGACCCAACUCUGCGGUGGGGGCAGGAGGCUGUCAGGAGGACGCACGGCUGAGCUUUCGCGGUUCUUGGGGUCCCAAGAUACCAACCAGAGGAGCUUCCUGGGGGAGGAGACAGUAGGGACGAGAGGGCAGAGGGAAGGAGGAGGGCAGGUCCGCAGGUCCUGAGGAUGCAGGAAGCCUCCCCCGCCCUCCAUGGGCCAGAGGGUCAGGCUCGGGCUUUAGACCAGCGGCCCCGAGAACAGAGUGCAGGGGGAGGGGUCGUGA
rnacentral:lncRNA from 1 species